rnacentral:rRNA from 1 species
AGUGAACGCUGGCGGUAGGCCUAACACAUGCGAGUCGAACGGCAGCACAGUAAGAGCUUGCUCUUACGGGUGGCGAGUGGCGGACGGGUGAGGAAUACAUAGGAAUCUACUUUUUCGUGGGGGAUAACGUAGGGAAACUUACGCUAAUACCGCAUACGACCUACGGGUGAAAGCAGGGGAUCUUCGGACCUUGCGCGAUUGAAUGAGCCGAUGUCGGAUUAGCUAGUUGGCGGGGUAAAGGCCCACCAAGGCGACGAUCCGUAGCUGGUCUGAGAGGAUGAUCAGCCACACUGGAACUGAGACACGGUCCAGACUCCUACGGGAGGCAGCAGUGGGGAAUAUUGGACAAUGGGCGCAAGCCUGAUCCAGCCAUACCGCGUGGGUGAAGAAGGCCUUCGGGUUGUAAAGCCCUUUUGUUGGGAAAGAAAAGCAGCAGGUUAAUACCCCGCUGUUCUGACGGUACCCAAAGAAUAAGCACCGGCUAACUUCGUG